ACUCCUACGGGAGGCAGCAGUGGGGAAUAUUGGACAAAUGGGGGCAACCCGUAGCAUCCAGCCAUGCCGCGUGUGUGAAAGAAAGGCCUUUUGGUUGUAAAAGCACUUUAAGCAGGGAGGAGAGGCUAAUGGUUAAUACCCAUUAGAUUAGACGUUACCUGCAGAAUAAGCACCGGCUAACUCUGUGCCAGCAGCCGCGGUAAUACAGAGGGUGCGAGCGUUAAUCGGAAUUACUGGGCGUAAAGCGAGUGUAGGUGGCUCAUUAAGUCACAUGUGAAAUCCC
rnacentral:rRNA from 1 species